rnacentral:rRNA from 1 species
UAUCCAUUGGAGGGCAAGUCUGGUGCCAGCAGCUGCGGUAAUACCAGCUCCAAUAGCGUAUAUUAAAGUUGUUGCAGUUAAAAAGCUCGUAGUUGGACUUGUGUGCGCUGUCCGCGGGUGGCCUGCGCCCAAAAAGGGCGUUUCGGUUCGGCCCCGGUGGCGCCUUGAAAUCUGCAGCUGGGGGGACGUUGGCCUUAACUGGUCGGCGACCGCACGCCGGCUGCUCGGUUACUGUGAGAGAAUUAGAGUGUUCAAGGCAGGCAUUGGGUGCAAUUGAAUACAUUAGCAUGGAAUAAUAAAAUAUGGCUCCUGCCGUAUUUUGUUGGUUUUGACUGGUGGGAGUAAUGAUUGAUAGGGACGGUUGGGGGUGCUAGUAUUGAGCGGCCAGAGGUGAAAUUCAUGGAUUCGCUCAAGACUAACUUAUGCGAAAGCAUUCACCAAGGACGUCCUCUUUAAUCAAGAACGAAAGUUGGGGGAUCGAAGACGAUCAGAUACCGUCGUAGUCUCAACCAUAAACUAUGUCGACUUGGGAUCGGCGGUAGUUUUUUCAUUAAGACACUGUCGGGACCACGGGAGAAAUCAAAGUGUCUGGACUCUGGGGGAAGUAUGGUCGCAAGGCUGAAACUUGAAGGAAUUGACGGAAGGGCACCACCAGGAGUGGAGCCUGCGGCUUAAUUUGACCCAACACGGGGAAACUUACCAGGUCCAGAGAUGUAGAGGAUUGACAGAUUGAAGCUCUUUCUUGAUCACUUCGGUGGUGGUGCAUGGCCGUUCUUAGUUGGUGGAGUGAUUUGUCUGGUUAAUUCCGUUAACGAACGAGACCUCAGCCUGCUAGUGUAGUCGGCUGGAUUGCCUUUGGCGAUCCGUGAUUUCGACUUCUUAGAGGGACAAUCGACGCGCAGUCGAUGGAAGUUUGAGGCAAUAACAGGUCUGUGAUGCCCUUAGAUGUUCUGGGCCGCACGCGCGCUACACUGCUGGGCUCAGCGAGUUUUACUUGGCCGAGAGGCCCGGUUAAUCUUGUGAAAUCCCAGCGUGCUUGGGCUCGCCUCCUGCAACUGGAGGCGCCAACGAGGAAUCCCUAGUAGACGCAGGUCAUCAACCUGCAUCGAUUACGUCCCUGCCCUUUGUACACACCGCCCGUCGUUCCAUAAGAGUGAGGCAUCCGGUGAAUUCUCGGGAGAGCCUGGGCGUGGCCAGCAAUGGUCUGCUCGGGUUUGAACUUGCAUAAACUUGGUGCCUAUGAUUAGGG